GAUGAACGCUGGCGGCGUGCCUAAUACAUGCAAGUCGAGCGAACAGACGAGGAGCUUGCUCCUCUGACGUUAGCGGCGGACGGGUGAGUAACACGUGGAUAACCUACCUAUAAGACUGGGAUAACUUCGGGAAACCGGAGCUAAUACCGGAUAAUAUAUUGAACCGCAUGGUUCAAUAGUUAAAGACGGUUUUGCUGUCACUUAUAGAUUGAUCCGCGCCGCAUUAGCUAGUUGGUAAGGUAACGGCUUACCAAGGCAACGAUGCGUAGCCGACCUGAGAGGGUGAUCGGCCACACUGGAACUGAGACACGGUCAAGACUCCUACGGGAGGCAGCAGUAGGGAAUCUUCCGCAAUGGGAGAAAGCCUGACGGAGCAACGCCGCGUGAGUGAUGAAGGUAUUCGGAUCGUAAAACUCUGUUAUUAGGGAGGAACAAAUGUGUAAGUAACUAUGCACGUCUUGACGGUACCUAAUCAGAAAGCCACGGCUAACUACGUG
rnacentral:rRNA from 1 species